GUUGUUCCCUCAAGAUGCUAUGUCGUUACAACAAGAUAGUUAUGUCGUUCCCUCUAGAUGCUAUGUCGUUCCUUCAAAAUGCUAUAUGUCGUUUCCACGAGAUAGUUAUCUCGUUCGAAAAUUCGAAAAACAGGAUAACUUUCUUGUGGAAACGACAUAGCAUAUUGAGGGAAUGAGAUAACUAUUUGUUUGAAAUUGUUGGCCUCUUGAGGGAACGAC
rnacentral:sRNA from 1 species